rnacentral:ncRNA from 2 species
GAUUUAUAAAGAAGUGGCGAGAGACUGGCUCGAUGACCCACUGGCAACCUUCAGCACAUGUUGAAAAGGUGCCAAUUCCUGUCUGAGGCAAUACCGCCUUGGAGCAUAUAAAUG